AAAGAAAGAAGAAAAGCAAAGUUUUGCUUGCCUCAGAAUGACCCUACCUCCCUGCUGAGCAAGAAAAAAACCCAACUCUGAAGUAGGUGGUGUGCUCUGUGCCCCCACGAUCUGCUCCCGGUCAGUAGAUUCAUGAGGUGGGCAGGUGAGUUUAAGGGAACUCGCAGUCUUUUCAUCAUUUUGAUGCGUGAAUGGAUUUUGUCGCUGGGAGUAUCUUUAAGACUUUAAUUAAAUCAGGAGUACACUCUGCAAUGAUUCCCUGCUGCUUAUCAGCCUCUUAAGGCCUUGAUUCAUUACUCAGUAUUAUUUUUUCAGCCUGAAAUAAGCUUUAAAGACCUGUUAUUGGAGAGAUUAAAGUUAUAACGUAAACAAACUCAUAUGCAUGUUGUUUUCACGCAGAAGAUGCUUUUAGUAUCAUAUUUGAUGUUCCAAACAAAACCAUUGCUUAUAGCGAGCUUUGCAGCCUGGAUGCCUUUGAAAGGAUAGAUAUGGACUCUGUUUGAUCUUGAGCUAUUUGGGGCUUUUUAUUUGUGUUUUGUGGCCCUUAUCUUGCAAACAAAGCCUCCUUUAUACGUCUGUAAAUCAGGAUGUCAUCCAUGGAGCUCUGCGGAGAUGGGAGACGGCUCCGGAGGGUGCAAAAUGCAAGUUCAGGGGCAAGUGGAAAUCAGAAAAAUGGAAACUGCUGCUGCAAGGCUUGGCUCGUUGCAGUGAAGACUGGAGCCUUAAUUGGGGGAACUGCUGUGUUUGUUUCCCUCCUCCCCUGCAACAUUGAUCCCCAGCAGUGCGAGGAUUAGCAAGUGGCCAAAUGCAUCGGGAGGUGACCUUGCUCUGCCGUAAGCACUGGGCUGCCACGGGGAAGCAGGCAGCAUCCCCAUGGACCAGACAGUUUUACAACGUCAGAAGAAUGGAAGAGCUGCAAGGCAUGCACGCUCAAGAUGCUGUGCUCCUGGAAAGCUUUGGAUAGGCUCCAGGCAACAUUUGGUGGCAAAGAAAGAUGAAGGUCUCGAGGGGAAAAAAAAAAUCAAGUCUUCAUCCUACAACCUUCCUGUUCCUGCGAGCUGGGAAUGUUGUCGAAGGACAGGAAAUGUGUGUUCUUGCAGUCGUGUCUUGGGAAGAGUGGCUUUGCUGCGAGUGCACAUUUGUGGCUGCUGGUGCCGAGAUGAUGGAAGCAUUGAUCCAGCCUGCUGCGUGACCCCGUUCAGCACGGCGGUGUGCUGUAUUGGCAGCAUUGUUUGUCUCCAGAGCUACUCUAAGCCAGGAUCACAGGACAGAUUGAAUCGGAGGAAAACCUUGUAG
rnacentral:lncRNA from 1 species